AAAAUAGGGAAGUCAUUGUGGUAUUAUGAUAAAGAUGUUUUAAAACAAUGACAUCUAGUUUUUUUAUAAUUAUUUAAUAAAUUUCUGAUGCUUUGAUUAAAAAAAAUCCCUAAAUGAAAUGUUAUACAGAUAGAAGUUAUUUAUUUUUACAUUGCUUAAAAAUAAUCCAUUUGUCUUAGUCCAGUUGGGCUGCUAUUACAAGUUACCAUGGAAUGUGUGGCUCACACAUAACAGAAGUUUAUUUCUCACAGUUCUGGAGGCUAGGAAGUUCAAAAUUAAGGUACGCAGAUGUGGGGUUUGGGUGAGGGUUUGCUUCUUGAUUCAUAGAUGGCUGUCUUGUUUUUGGGUCCUCACAUUGCAGAAAGGGAAAAGAAGUUCUUUGGGGUGCUUUUUAUGAGGGCACUAAUUCUGAUAAUGAGGGCUCCACCCUCAUAACCUAAUCACCUUCCAAAGGCCCUCUUCAAAGGCCUUACCAUCACAUUGGGGAUUCGGUUUCAAUAUGUACAUUUUCAGUGGGUGCACAAUCAUUGAAUCAAUAACAGAAUUUUUCAUUUUUGUCACCAGUUCCUAGGGCCUAAAAUUAUAGCCAAGGAAGCUAUAUGAAUCCUUGUAUUCAUAGACUGCCUCAAAUUUUGACUUUAUCUCCAAAUUUGCUGUCAAGAUUAAAAGAAUAAAUUUUUUGUCACAUAACUCGUGGUUGGUAUUGUGAAUGCUCAACUGUAUCCAGUUUUCCUUUUCUUCUUGACUCAGAGAAACUGCAUUUUCUACUCACCCUUCAGUCAUCAGGAAUCAGGGCCAUGAACUCGUUCUAGACUAUGGACUGUAGUGGAAGUUAAAAAUAUCACAUCUGGCCCACACAAAGUGUAAUAUCUCCAAGAGUACCUUUCCUCCAUUGCAACAACCAAGGAAUCUACCUAUUUCAAAUUCUAGAGCUAUAAAGUUGUAGAGUUUGUUUUAGCUUGGAUCACUGAGUGACAGAUUGGGAAAGACACUUUAAGUGAUAAACAAAUCUGUAUGUGUUAAACCACUGAAAUAUUCUUUGGCACAAGAGCUGUGGUUGCAUAUAGAAGUUCCAUGGAUGAACUAUAAUUGCCCAGAUGAACUGUUGAGGAACAGCUUGUAGGAAUGAAAAGAAAGUAAAGGGAAAGGAUAGGAAGAUAAAGACACAUGGCAAAGUUUUCUGGAUUUUGCCUAUCUCAUUUUAGACAGUUUACAGAAGGAAAUGAACAACAGCCUAAUUUUCAAGGAAUAGAGAUGCCAAAAGAACAGUCAAUGAGCAUGAUAGGUUAAGAACCUUUUCUACUGCUCCCUUCAGAUAGAUGCAGGUGGGAGCCAUUCAGGCAGAUGUUUUGGGGAAAGGAGGACAAAAUAUUGGAAAGCUCAGGGAAAGAAGAAAUUUGUUUUCUUUUUCCCCUAUGGGAGUGAUAUUUACUUACAUCUUCAAAGUGGGAGGAGUAUAUCCCUCUUUUGGGUCUUCAAGGAUGGUGACUUACUCUUCCUCAAUUGGUGGCUAUUUUUGAGAGACCUAGUGAUCAAAAUGCAGGUCUUAGAUUUGUGGGCCAGGUUGUUGCUAUCACUAAUAAGUUAUGGAAUGGCCUCUAGAAAAAGCCAUACCAGUUCUGCAAGUCUCUUUCUAUGUGGUCUAUAAAAAGAUGGAAAAAUGGGAUUGAGAAAGUACCCCUCAUAGGAGAUAUGCUCUUUAAGACACUCUAACACAUUGCUGCUAUAAAAUCGAUUAUAUUUUGUCAUGUGUCAACAUGAUUUUCUUGGAAUCUCCUUGACUUACAUAUGCCAAAUAUGAACCAUUAAUGAUGCCCUUAAAAAUCCAGUAAUAUUUUACUUAGGGUGUGGGGAUGGUGGUGAAAAACUUAUGAAAGGACUAGGCAUCACUUUUGAAAGUACUAGGUCUGGCGAUCUUGCUUCCUGGUGCUCCAAUUUUGGCCUGAUUUUACAAACACCGAAUAUUACCUGAGUAAUGACUGAGUAGGUAUUCAUUCAGAAACAAUACCUGUGUGGUAGAUUCUAGAUGGCUAUAAUUUUUUUUAAUAUACUACUCCAGUGAAGAGGUUGGAUGAAUAUUUUCUUUCCUUUAAGCUGGCAGGCUUUGACACUGCUUUGAACAUGCUGGAAGUGAUGAUCUGUCAGUUUCUGGUCCCAAGUCAUGAGAGAUGGACAGCUUCCACACUUCCUGUGUCUUCUUAACACUUCCUCCUGAAGUUCUGAGCCACCACCUAAGAAGUCCUGCUGCCCAGAUGGAGAGACAACUUGGAAGGGGUCUGAGACUACAUGUGGAUGGACACAGGCCCACUUGAUACCAGUGUUUUAGCCAUCCCCAUCAAACACCAGCUCAUCUUAAUACAUCAGAAGGAAGAAGGAUAUCAAUAAACUCUUGGAAGGGAAUAGGGGUAGAAAAGAAGCCCUAAACUGUUCAUAGUCUAGACACGGAAAGCUGUCAGAAG
rnacentral:lncRNA from 1 species